GUGCUCCCUUCGGCAGCACAUAUACUAAAAUUGGAACAAUACAGAGAAGGUUAGUAUGGCCCCUGCACAAGGAUGACAUGCAAAUUCCUGAAGCAUUCCGUAUUUUA